GAAAUGCGAUAAGUAAUGUGAAUUGCAGAAUUCAGUGAAUCAUCGAAUCUUUGAACGCACCUUGCGCUCCUUGGUAUUCCUUGGAGCAUGCCUGUUUGAGUAUCAUGAAAUCUUCAAAGUAAAUCUUUUGUUAACUCAAUUGGUUUCUACUUUGGUAUUGGAGGUCUUUGCAGCUUCACACCUGCUCCUCUUUGUUCAUUAGCUGGAUCUCAGUGUUAUGCUUGGUUCCACUCGGCGUGAUAAGUUAUCUAUCGCUGAGGACACUGUAAAAGGUGGCCAAGGUAAAUGCAGAUGAACCGCUUCUAAUAGUCCAUUGACUUGAACAAUACUUUUAUGAUCUGAUCUCAAAUCAGGUAUGACUACCCGCUGAACUUAAGC
rnacentral:misc_RNA from 1 species